rnacentral:rRNA from 1 species
UACGGGGGGAGCAAGCGUUGUUCGGAUUUACUGGGCGUAAAGGGCGCGUAGGCGGUCAGCACAAGUCAGUUGUGAAAUCUCCGGGCUUAACUCGGAAAGGUCAACUGAUACUGUGCGACUAGAGUGCAGAAGGGGCAACUGGAAUUCUCGGUGUAGCGGUGAAAUGCGUAGAUAUCGUAAGGAAGACCAGUGGCGAAGGCGGAUCUCUGGACAGCUACUGACACUGAGGCACGAAGGCCAGGGGAGCAAACGGG